rnacentral:lncRNA from 1 species
CUGGUAUAGACUGGUAGAGGAUCUCCUGAGGGUGGAGUUGAUCAGGAGUGUGAUGCAGGGCAGGUGGUCCUAAGGGUAUUUAGGUAGCUCAUCGCUUCUGAGCAUUCCUUUCUCUUAUUAAUUCUGAACUCAGGACAGUUUGGAGUAGGGAGAGAGGACAACAAAGAAGUAGGAGGCUGGUAUUCCAUGGACUGCUAGGGCUUUGUGCUGCCAUAUCCUGGAGCUCUGCCCUGACAUGGCUCAGUAGAUACUUAGUUAUCAAGAAGAGGUCAAAUUGUGUUGGACAGGAGAUCGUUCAUUAAAUAGUGGAAGACACACAGUAGUUUAUGUUCAAGGACAUGCAAGCAAAGUAGUAUUCACUUCCAUCAAGAUGUGCUCAAGUGCUAGGCUCCAGAGCUUGCUAACAUGACCUUAUUUGGAGAUGGUGAGUCUUAACUGAUGUAAUCAAUCUAUUAUGAAGUCAUACUGGGCUAGUAUGGACCAUGACCUAAAUGACUGACAUUCUUGUGAUGGUGAUGGCUCUGUGAAAAUGGAGAUUGGAGUGGUUGUCUACAAACCAGAAAAUGUCAGGCCUUUCUAGAAAUCCUUCAAAGCCAGGAGAGAUGAGGGGAAAAUUUUCCUCACCCCUGAGCUGAGAGAGAGAGAGAGAGAGAGAGAGAGAGAGAGAGAGAGAGAGAGAGCAUUGUUAAUGUCUUGAAUUUGCAGUUCUUUGUAUACUUCUGAAGUUCAAACUCUGCUGCCUACACUCCACCUUUUCUUGCUACCCAACACAGCCAGAUAUCAUCUCGUUAGAGUUUUUCCCAUUGCUGUUUAAUAUUCAGAAGACUCACAAUUGCAUAUCCAAUGUAAGGGUAGAGUUAUUGACUGCCGAGAAAGGAGGUAUUGUUGAAGCCGUCUUUUAUUUUGUGUCUGUGCAGAUGGCAUACAAAUGCCUCCAUGAUACAGGCAGAGAGGCCAGUGAACACAUCUGAAUCUGAAUGUGGAACACCAGCUGUCUCACUCAGCCCUUCCCACCACCUUCGUGUGAGCACGUGGACAAAACAUUUAGAGAUUGAAGGUUGGUAUGCUGAGUUGCUGGUGACUAAGCAAAGCCUGACACAGCUUCACAAGAGGUCCCUCAAACUUUGACCGCCAUGGAGACUUGGCAAUCCAUUCAGACUACUUUGAGAAGCAGUUCAAAACUGAUUUGUAUUCUAUGAUUCUUUUUCCUACCUUGUAUUUCUUUCUGUAAAAGAGUUGAGGCUGAUCUAAUUUUAGGAUUUGGCCAUUUGAGUUGAACUUGGUGGUUUUAGUUUUAUUGCUGUUUUUCUUCUUUUAGGUUGAGAGCGAGAGG